rnacentral:rRNA from 1 species
UNUGACUUGAGUGCAGAAGGGGAGAGUGGAAUUCCAUGUGUAGCGGUGAAAUGCGUAGAUAUAUGGAGGAACACCAGUGGCGAAAGCGGCUCUCUGGUCUGUCACUGACGCUGAGGCUNGAAAGCGUGGGUAGCGAACAGGAUUAGAUACCCUGGUAGUNCACGCCGUAAACGAUGAGUGCUAGGUGUUAGGCCCUUUCCGGGGCUUAGUGCCGGAGCUAACGCAAUAAGCACUCCGCCUGGGGAGUACGACCGCAAGGUUGAAACUCAAAGGAAUUGACGGGGGCCCGCACAAGCGGUGGAGCAUGUGGUUUAAUUCGAAGCAACGCGAAGAACCUUACCAGGUCUUGACAUCCCGAUGCUAUUCUUAGAGAUAGGAAGUUACUUCGGUACAUCGGAGACAGGUGGUGCAUGGUUGUCGUCAGCUCGUGUCGUGAGAUGUUGGGUUAAGUCCCGCAACGAGCGCAACCCUUAUUGUUAGUUGCCAUCAUUAAGUUGGGCACUCUAGCGAGACUGCCGGUAAUAAACCGGAGGAAGGUGGGGAUGACGUCAAAUCAUCAUGCCCCUUAUGACCUGGGCUACACACGUGCUACAGUGGUCGGUACAACGAGUUGCGAGCCGGUGACGGCAAGCUAAUCUCUGAAAGCCGAUCUCAGUUCGGAUUGGAGGCUGCAACUCGCCUCCAUGAAGUCGGAAUCGCUAGUAAUCGCGGAUCAGCACGCCGCGGUGAAUACGUUCCCGGGCCUUGUACACACCGCCCGUCACACCACGAGAGUUUGUAACACCCGAAGUCGGUGAGGUAACCUUUUAGGGGCCAGCCGCCUAAGGUNGGA